rnacentral:rRNA from 1 species
GACGAACGCUGGCGGCGUGCUUAACACAUGCAAGUCGAACGGAAAGGCACUGCUUUUGUGGGGUGCUCGAGUGGCGAACGGGUGAGUAACACGUGAGUAACCUGCCCUUGACUUUGGGAUAACUUCAGGAAACUGGGGCUAAUACCGGAUAGGAGCUCCUGCUGCAUGGAGGGGGUUGGAAAGUUUCGGCGGUUGGGGAUGGACUCGCGGCUUAUCAGCUUGUUGGUGGGGUAGUGGCUUACCAAGGCUUUGACGGGUAGCCGGCCUGAGAGGGUGACCGGCCACAUUGGGACUGAGAUACGGCCCAGACUCCUACGUGAGGCAGCAGUGGGGAAUAUUGCACAAUGGGCGGAAGCCUGAUGCAGCAACGCCGCGUGCGGGAUGACGGCCUUCGGGUUGUAAACCGCUUUCGCCUGUGACGAAGCGUGAGUGACGGUAAUGGGUAAAGAAGCACCGGCUAACUACGUG